AAAAUCUCCAAAUCAUAGCCCUGAACACCCACACAGUCGUUUAUAGUUAAUGUGGCUAAUUGGACCUUUUCCAGGACUGUGUGGGUGUCUAUGGA